GAUGAACGCUGGCGGCGUGCCUAAUACAUGCAAGUCGAGCGAACGGACGAGAAGCUUGCUUCUCUGAUGUUAGCGGCGGACGGGUGAGUAACACGUGGAUAACCUACCUAUAAGACUGGGAUAACUUCGGGAAACCGGAGCUAAUACCGGAUAAUAUUUUGAACCGCAUGGUUCAAAAGUGAAAGACGGUCUUGCUGUCACUUAUAGAUGGAUCCGCGCUGCAUUAGCUAGUUGGUAAGGUAACGGCUUACCAAGGCAACGAUGCAUAGCCGACCUGAGAGGGUGAUCGGCCACACUGGAACUGAGACACGGUCCAGACUCCUACGGGAGGCAGCAGUGGGGAAUCUUCCGCAAUGGGCGAAAGCCUGACGGAGCAACGCCGCGUGAGUGAUGAAGGUCUUCGGAUCGUAAAACUCUGUUAUUAGGGAAGAACAUAUGUGUAAGUAACUGUGCACAUCUUGACGGUACCUAAUCAGAAAGCCACGGCUAACUACGUA
rnacentral:rRNA from 1 species